UCAGGAUGAACGCUGGCGGCGUGCCUUAAGCAUGCAAGUCAAGGGGGCUCCGUAAGGAGCAACCGGCGGACGGGUGAGUAACGCGUAGGAAUCUACCUCUAGGUGGACCAUAGCUUAUCGAAAGAUGGGGUAAUAGUCCAUAGUCAAUUUAUUGUAAAGCGAUUAACUUCGCGCCAAGAGAUGAGCCUGCGUCCUAUCAGCUUGUUGGUGGGGUAAAAGCCUACCAAGGCGAUGACGGGUAGCUGGACUGAGAGGUCGAUCAGCCACAACUGCACUGAGACACGGGCAGUACACCUACGGGUGGCAGCAACUGGGAAUAUUGCGCAAUGGACGAAAGUCUGACGCAGCGACGCCGCGUGGAGGAAGAAGGCCUUCGGGUUGUAAACUCCUUUUGAUAGACCCUUCACGGUCUAUAGAAUAAGCCUCUACUAACUACGUGGCCCAUUAAAUUGGGUUUGGCGCGUAGUAUAAAUUUCACUAUAUGCUGGAAUCUUUUGUAAAAGUUAAUCUACCUAAAAGGUAAAAAUGAUUAACAAACCCAAAAAAACUUUGAGACAAGUAUAAGGGUUGCAGAACAAUCAGCAGGGAAGAUCCCGAUUUAUCGGGAAACCCUCAGAGACUAUACGUGAAACGCUCGAAAGAGUGAAGAUAUAGUCCAAUCGGUAAGUUAAAUUUUUAUUUAACCUAACCGGGCCAGAAGUCUCGGUAAUACGUAGGAGGCAAGCGUCAUCCGGAUUCAUUGGGCGUAAAGUGUGCGUAGGCUGUCCGACGUGUCUUUUCUUAAAUACUAAAGCUUACCUUUAGGAGUGGGAAAGAAACUGUCGGACUUGAGGAUUGUCAGGGAUGCCG
rnacentral:rRNA from 1 species